ACCUGGGUGGCUCAGUUGGUUGAGCAUCUGACUCUUGAUUUCAGCUCAGGUCUUGAUCUCUCAGUUUGUGGGUUCAAGCCCCACUUCAGGCU
rnacentral:tRNA from 1 species